rnacentral:rRNA from 1 species
CCUACGGGGGGCUGCAGUGGGGAAUAUUGCACAAUGGGCGCAAGCCUGAUGCAGCCAUGCCGCGUGUGUGAAGAAGGCCUUCGGGUUGUAAAGCACUUUCAGCGGGGAGGAAGGCGGUGAGGUUAAUAACCUCAUCGAUUGACGUUACCCGCAGAAGAAGCACCGGCUAACUCCGUGCCAGCAGCCGCGGUAAUACGGAGGGUGCAAGCGUUAAUCGGAAUUACUGGGCGUAAAGCGCACGCAGGCGGUCUGUCAAGUCGGAUGUGAAAUCCCCGGGCUCAACCUGGGAACUGCAUUCGAAACUGGCAGGCUAGAGUCUUGUAGAGGGGGGUAGAAUUCCAGGUGUAGCGGUGAAAUGCGUAGAGAUCUGGAGGAAUACCGGUGGCGAAGGCGGCCCCCUGGACAAAGACUGACGCUCAGGUGCGAAAGCGUGGGGAGCAAACCGGAUUAGAUACCCUAGUAGUC